rnacentral:tRNA from 1 species
GACGGUAUAGCUCAAGUGGUAGAGUGUGUGCUUAGCAUGCAUGAGACCAGAGUUCGAUCCCCAGUACCUCCU